rnacentral:rRNA from 1 species
UGUGGUAUUUUGACUAUACGAAGGUAUUGAAAUAAGGCUUUAAAUGAGUGCUAAGAGAAUGGUUGAACAAUUAUGGGCUUUCUUUAAUUAAUAAAUUGAAUUUAAUGUUUUUGUGAAGAAGCAAAAAUGAUAAUUAGGGACAAGAAGACCCUAUGAAUUUUUAAACUGAAAUUAUUAUUUGAAUGAUUUUUCAGUUUUAAUUGGGGCGAUGAGAAAAGAAUAUUUAUCUUUUUUUUAACAAGUUAAUUUGAUCCAUUAAUAAUGAUUAAAUGAUUUAAAUACUCUAGGGAUAACAGCGUAAUAAUUUCGGAUAGUUCAUAUAGAUGAAAUAGUUUGCGACCUCGAUGUUGGAUUAGCAUACUUUUUUGGUGGAGAAAUUAAUAUAAAGAAGUUUGUUCAACUUUUAAAAU